rnacentral:rRNA from 1 species
UUCGCAAUGCCCGAAAGGGUGACGAAGCGACGCCGCGUGAGUGAGGAAGGCCUUCGGGUUGUAAAGCUCUGUCAGGAGUUAAGAAAUAUAAGUGUGCUAAUACCACAUUUAUUUGACAAAGGCUCCAAAGGAAGCCACGGCUAACUCUGUGCCAGCAGCCGCGGUAACACAGAGGUGGCAAGCGUUGUUCGGAAUUAUUGGGCGUAAAGAGCACGUAGGUGGGUUUGUAAGUCAGAUGUGAAAGCCUUCUGUUCAACGGAAGAAUUGCAUCUGAAACUGCGAGUCUUGAGUGUAGGAGGGGAGAAUGGAACUUCUGGUGGAGCGGUGAAAUGCGUAGAUAUCAGAAGGAACGCCGGCGGCGAAAGCGAUUCUCUGGCCUAUUACUGACACUCAGUGUGCGAAAGCUAGGGGAGCAAACGGGAUUAGAUACCCCGGUAGUCCUAGCUGUAAACGAUGGGCACUAAGUAGAGGGGCUUU